GUUGAAACGCUAAUUCUCGUCCGAUCACCGAAGUUAAGCAACGUCGAGCCUGGUUAAUACCUAGAGGGGUGACCGUUUGGCAAUACCAGGUGAUGUAAG